rnacentral:rRNA from 1 species
UUUAUGGAGAGUUUGAUCCUGGCUCAGGAUGAACGCUGGCGGCGUGCCUAAUACAUGCAAGUCGAGCGAACAGACAAGGAGCUUGCUCCUUUGACGUUAGCGGCGGACGGGUGAGUAACACGUGGGUAACCUACCUAUAAGACUGGGAUAACUUCGGGAAACCGGAGCUAAUACCGGAUAAUAUUUCGAACCGCAUGGUUCGAUAGUGAAAGAUGGUUUUGCUAUCACUUAUAGAUGGACCCGCGCCGUAUU